rnacentral:rRNA from 1 species
UACAGAGGUCCCAAGCGUUGUUCGGAUUCAUUGGGCGUAAAGGGUGCGCAGGCGGCGGUUCGCGUGGAUAGGUGAAAUCUCCUGGCUUACCUGGGAGGAUGGUAUCCAGACGGGGAUCGCUUGAGGGUCGGAGAGGGGCGUGGAAUUCCGGGUGGAGCGGUGAAAUGCGUAGAGAUCCGGAGGAACACCGACGGCGUAGGCAGCGCCCUGGACGACACCUGACGCUGAGGCACGAAAGCUGGGGGAGCGAACAGG